rnacentral:rRNA from 1 species
UUGUUGGUAAGGUAAAGGCUUACCAAGGCUUCGAUCAGUAGCUGGUCUGAGAGGACGGCCAGCCACACUGGGACUGAGACACGGCCCAGACUCCUACGGGAGGCAGCAGUGGGGAAUUUUGGACAAUGGGGGAAACCCUGAUCCAGCCAUGCCGCGUGAGUGAAGAAGGCCUUCGGGUUGUAAAGCUCUUUCAGCCGGAACGAAACGGUUACGGAUAAUACCCGUGACUACUGACGGUACCGGAAGAAGAAGCACCGGCUAACUACGUGCCAGCAGCCGCGGUAAUACGUAGGGUGCGAGCGUUAAUCGGAAUUACUGGGCGUAAAGCGUGCGCAGGUGGUUUUGUAAGUCAGAUGUGAAAGCCCCGGGCUCAACCUGGGAACUGCGUUUGAAACUACAAGACUAGAGUGUGGCAGAGGGGGGUGGAAUUCCGCGUGUAGCAGUGAAAUGCGUAGAGAUGUGGAGGAACACCGGUGGCGAAGGCAGCCCCCUGGGUUAACACUGACACUCAGGCACGAAAGCAUGGGGAGCAAACAGGAUUAGAUACCCUGGUAGUCCAUGCCCUAAACGAUGUCAACUAGUUGUCGGGCCUUUACGGGCUUGGUAACGUAGCUAACGCGUGAAGUUGACCGCCUGGGGAGUACGAUCGCAAGAUUAAAACUCAAAUGAAUUGACGGGGACCCGCACAAGCGGUGGAUUAUGUGGAUUAAUUCGAUGCAACGCGAAAAACCUUACCUACCCUUGACAUGUAUCGAAGCCCGCAGAAAAGCGGGGGUGCCCGAAAGGGAACGAUAACACAGGUGCUGCAUGGCUGUCGUCAGCUCGUGUCGUGAGAUGUUGGGUUAAGUCCCGCAACGAGCGCAACCCUUGUCAUUAAUUGCCAUCAUUUAGUUGGGCACUUUAAUGAGACUGCCGG